CCCCAACGAAGAAAGAUAAGCUGAACACGGGGAAGAAACUCGGGUUAAUGUUCGCAGGAAUAGCCGGGAUCUUGCAAGUGUGUGUUGUGGCAUUCUUAUUGAUUAGGAGAAAGCAAAUUUUAAAGGAAGAAGGUGGUUAUUAAACCAAAACAAAAAUUUCUUUGGGUAUAAAUCACAUCAUUUGAAUAUUUUUCUGUUCAAUUCUUUUUUCUUGGUGGAUCCUACUACAUAGAAGGUAGGAUUCCACUGGAUAGAAUAUUAACUGCGGCUUCCGAUUGAGGCCAGGCAUCAACGAUUUCGAGGAUUUGUCGAAUUCCGGUAUCUGCAUCUGGGUUCCAGCUCUUGUAAAUUGGUAAUUCUUGUUUUUAUGAAUAGUUUUUCAUUCAUUUAUUCAUUAACAUAUGUUGCUUCGAAAAUUUACAGGGUUUGAUUUGCAAAUCUUAGUCAGAAUGUCAAAAAUUUAUGUUUUCUGCUGAUUCUAUUUGGCUAAUAUGUUACUGGAAAUAUGGGUUUUUGUCGUGGUUGUGUCAAGAUUGAAAGCUGAUUAGCUUGGAAUAACAAAUACAGAAGCCACCGCCUGAGUUUUUCUUAUCACGGGAAUUGUCACCACUUGAGAUCGUCUAAAUUGAAAUCAUUAACCAAUAGGAUUGAACUAUUCACAAAAUGAUGGCCGUCGAUUUCUUUUUUCUUUCAUACAUAUAUUUUGUUGUUAUCUAUCAUUUUCCAGUCUUUGUUUAGAUUUGCCAUUGAUGGGUAGUUAUCUAGAAUGUAUCAUUUAUAAGUUGUUGGUUAAAGAAAAAGACAUUGGCAAUUGGUCUUUUUAAGAGUGACUUGCGCAAGUGCAUCUAUAUUUUCUUUCCUUGUGUUGGCUUAUGCACAAAUCCAGGAUCAUCUUUCACGGGACAAUAUCUCUUCCUAUUCUGGUUAAAAGAUAAUAUACAAAACCAGUGGAGGUGAAGCGGAUAGGGGAUAGAAUAACGAUAGUUUAAAUGUUUAGGACAUGUUUGUGUAGACAUAAUGAGGCUCAUUUUUCUAAAGAGUAACACGGUCUCUGUAGAACACAUUGGACGAGGAAGGCGUACGCUAAGUAUGCCAUGAUUUGCUUUAGUUAUGAAGGAUCGGUGGAUUUACCUGCUGCCUCUUGUUUAUUGUUGUUGUGUGCGUCUCCUUACGUCAUUAUUCCUCUGGUUGGACGUCAGCAUUAGGAGAAAACUGAAAUCUAAUUCAAAUCGUCGGUUGUGAAGAAUAGAAUCUGAAUUUCGGCUCAAUUUUGUUAUGAACAAUUGCAUUCAUCUAUGCUUUGUGCUUAUAGGUAUUUUUACUAUUUUAGGUAUGACAACUAAAGGAAAAUUUUCUUUCUUUCUUGUUUAUGUUGUAGGUGAUUGUGAAAGAUGAGGAGUGACAGUAGAAGAAGCACUUUCUGUUUGUCAAUGUUAGGAACUGACUUGGAAUUACUUCUGGAUUGCAACAACACUAUAUAGCUCGUUUGUCUACUAAAAAUAUAAUUCAGGAAACCCGAGUGAUCGAUUUAAAUGCUGACUUUUAUUCACCAUAACUGUAAUGUUUUAUUUAUUUCGAUAAUUUUAUGUAGUAAUGCUAUGUAUUUUUACGAUUUGAAAUCCAAUCUGCCUUUAUUUCAAGAAGCUUUCAACAAAGACAGCGUUUGACAGGGACUUUUGCAUCAUUUUCAGGGAGUAAAUUUGUCAAAUUUUGUAUACUUCACCUAUCAGUUGGUGCAGCUGAUGGUUGUGAAGUUUAAAAAAACAUUGUAGACUUGUCAUGUUUUCUUGGAUACCUGGUUAGCUAUUGUCUGAAAGUUGCUCCAGCUUCAGUGUCUUUGUUUUCUAUUACACUGAUAAUUUUUCCCAUCUAUUAGAG
rnacentral:lncRNA from 1 species